GAAAACUACCGUAUAUACUCGUGUAUAAGUCGAUCUCAUGUAUAAGUCGAGUCCAGUUUUGUGACCAACAAUUGUGAAAUAUGCUAUGCCUCGUGGAUAAGUCGAGGGUAAAACUUGGGGCUGUGAAAUUCUGUGAUUUUUAUAAUUAUAUACACACACACUCAUACAAACACACACUCUGCAUUAUAUACACACACACACUCAUACAAACACACACUCUGCAUUAUAUACACACACUCUGUGUAUAUAAUGCAGAGUGUGUAUAUAAUGCAGAGUGUGUGUUUGUGUAGUGUGUGUGAACUAGGUGUGGGGAGGGCAUUUUUAUUAUUUUAAUUUAAAUUUUAUUUUAAUAUUAUUUUUUUAUUAUUUAAAUUUUUUUUUGUCCCCCCUCCCUGCUUGUUAACUGGGCAGGGAGGGGGGCUAUCUUAAUCCCUGGUGGUCCAGUGGCAUGGGCUGUGAAGGGGGGGGCGGCAGGAAGCAUUUACUUACCUUUCCUGCAGCUCCUGUCAGCUCCCUUCUCCUCCGUUCCGGUCAGCUCCACUGUAAGUCUCGCGAUCGUUGCCAUGGCUCUGACGGCCGCGGCUCUCUAAGUUGCCAUAAUACAGACAGUGACUCGAGUAUAAGUCGAGUGGGGGUUUUUAAGCACAAAAAAUGUGCUGAAAAACUAGACUUAUACUCGAG